AUUGAACGCUGGCGGCAGGCCUAACACAUGCAAGUCGAGCGAGCGGCGGACGGGUGAGUAAUGUAUGGGGACUGCCCGAUAGAGGGGGAUAACUACUGGAAACGGUGGCUAAUACCGCAUACUAUCGGAUAACCCAUAUGGGAUUAGCUAGUAGGUGGGGUAAAGGCUGACCUAGGCGACGAUCUCUAGCGGGUCUGAGAGGAUGCUCAGCAACACGGGGACUGCGACACGGCCCAGACUCCUACGGAGGCAGCAGUGGGGAAUAGUGCACAAAGGGCGCAAGCCUGCUGCAGCCAUGCCGCGUGUAUGAAGAAGGCCGUAGGGUUGUAAAGUACUUUCAGCGGGGAGGGGUUACCCGCAGAAGAAGAACCGGCUAACUCCGUGCCAGCAGCCGCGGUAAUUC
rnacentral:rRNA from 1 species